AUUAAUAAAAUAACUAACAAAUAACUCCUUCAUAACUAGCGCAUUCUUGACGCUACCAAGUUAACAAUGAACUCGUUCUUCAUCCAUUUACUUUGACGGUAUUUCUUUUGUAACAAUACGAUGGCUUUUAUGUUACGUUUCCUAUGAGUGGAUUUAUAAACUGGAAUCAAUUGAAGAAAUUGGAAGCUUUUCUAUUGUUAAAGAUAUUCGGGGUGAAGAACCUUAUAUGACUAUAAAAAUGCGUUGUUUUUAUGAUGACAACCGUUUGUAUGGAAAUGCCUGGGAAGCCAUCAUGAAAAAUAAUUCGUGUCAUGCAAAGUUAUUUCAAAAAUGUUUUCGUAACCGAACAGUUCCUGGAAGACAGGAGACUCAUGUUUUGACUUUUACAUUAAAGAAAGGAAUUAGCCAAUGCGUGUGCGUUGACGUUACUGGUUGGUGCUUAGAAGUUUGCGAAAAUAUUUCUGAUAUUAGAUGCUGUCUUGAUAGAGGAGAACAAUCUGUUUUGUGUCGUGGAUAAUAUCAACUUUUACACAAACACACGCACGCACACACAUACACCUUAUUUUCAAUAACUUAUGAUAGUAACUAUAUUUUUACAAAAGUAUAAUUAAGUUGCAAGUCGUAAAAGAAUAACAUGUUUUCAAAGUAUCAUCAAUAAAUUGGAUUAUUUUUUAUUCAAUACACUCUGACUUAAUAUAAAAACUUUACACUCUGACUUAAUAUAAAAACUAAAUUAACUUUUUGUUUUCAUUCCAAAAUACAGCUACUUUUACGUUCACAUGUUUUUUUAUUGAAGGUUCUCCUAUACAAUCAACAGUUUAAGUUCUCCUAUACAAUCAACAGUUUAAGUUCUCCUAUACAAUCAACAGUUUAAGUUCUCCUAUACAAUCAACAGUUUAAGUUCUCCUAUACAAUCAUAGUUUUUUUUCUAAUUUUUGUUUUGAAAUAUAUAUUUAGAUCUUUAUCGAUAA